rnacentral:lncRNA from 1 species
UCUUUUAUUGCAACAAUGUUCAUUGCAAUUGUCAGCACAAAUAGUGACUUCUUCAGCGUUACUGCUAGAUUCUUCAUUACUGUUAUUAUUAGAGGAAUAAGAGAUAUUAGAACCUUCAUCAUUACUGACAUCGUUCUCAAUUCUCAUAAGCUCUAAUAUAUGUUCAACGUCUUCACUAGAGACAUUUAAUUGAUUUAAUUUUUGUUUUAUUUUACAUUCAUUUUUGUAAUGACCCUUUUGCCCACAAUUGUGGCAAA